AUACGGAGGAUCCGAGCGUUAUCCGGAUUUAUUGGGUUUAAAGGGUGCGUAGGCGGACGAUUAAGUCAGCUGUGAAAGUCUGUGGCUCAACCAUAGAAUUGCCGUUGAAACUGGGGGGCUUGAGUAUGUUUGAGGCAGGCGGAAUGCGUGGUGUAGCGGUGAAAUGCAUAGAUAUCACGCAGAACCCCGAUUGCGAAGGCAGCUGCCCAAGCCAUGACUGACGCUGAUGCACGAAAGCGUGGGGAUCAAACAGGAUUAGAUACCCUGGUAGUCCACGCAGUAAACGGUGAUCACUAGCUGUUUGCGAUACACUGUAAGCGGCACAGCGAAAGCGUUAAGUGAUCCACCUGGGGAGUACGCCGGCAACGGUGAAACUCAAAUGAAUUGACGGG
rnacentral:rRNA from 1 species